UUAGUAUUAUUCUUAAUUGUUUAAUAAAUAAAAAAUAUGCAUAUAAAUUAACUUUAAAAAAUAUUACUUAGUAUAUUAUAUUUAUAAAUUAAUGAAAUUUAAUUUAAAUUUUAGGUUUUUCAAAAAUUUGUGCCAGAAGUUUCGGUUAUACAAAAAAAUAUUAAACAUAAUUCGGUUAAAAUUUUAGUUUAAUGAAUAUAAUAAGUAUAACUUUAAAAAAUUUUUGAUAGAAUAAAAAUUUUUUAAAAAACUGCUUUUAAUUGAACCUAAUGAAAUUUUUAAAAAAACUAGGAUUAGAUACCCUACUAUUUAAUUAUAUAAUUAAUAAACCAAACGAAAAGUAAAAGUUACCUAAAGUUAAAAUAAAUGGCGGCUUAAUAAUUUUAUUAGGGAAUUUUGUUUAUUUAUGGAUAUUACCCAAAAUACCUUUCUUUAAUUUUAGUUUAUUUAUUUCCGAUUAUUUUUUUUUAUAAAAAAAAAUAAAAUUAAUCUUUAUUAAAUCAGGUCUACAUGUAGCUUAUAUUAAAGUUUAAAUGAAAUACAAUUAAAUAAUUAAAAUAAAUUAUAUAAUUUUUUAAAGUGAUUUAUAUAAAUAGAACUUAAAAGUAAUAAUUAUUAAGAAAAGUUUUAUGAAUUUAUACUAUUAUAUGCACAAAUUGCCCGUCACUCUUUUAAAUUAGAUAAGUCGAAACAUAGUAAGUGUAUUGGAAAAUGUACUUAGUAAAAU
rnacentral:ncRNA from 1 species